ACUUCUUUGCUUUUAGAGAUGAUAGGUUUUAAGGCAUAUUAUGUAUGCAAAUGCAGAUUAAGUUGGAUAAGGAGAACAAGAUUCUCGCCAUUCAGGAUAGAGGUGUUGGUAUGACCAAGGCAGAUCAGAUUAAGAACCUUGGAACCAUUGCGAAAUCUGGAACUUCAGCUUUCGUGGAAAAGAUGCAGACUGGAGGUGACUUGAAUCUCAUAGAACAAUUUGGUGUUGGCAUCUACUCAGGUGGCUUACUAUGUUGAAGUUGUCAGCAAGCACAAUGAUGACAAACAAUAUGUGUGGGAGUCCAAAGCUGAUGGAGCAUUUGCUAUCUCGGAGGAUACUUGUAAUGAACCCUUGGCUGUGGAACUGAUAUCAAAUUACAUAUCCAUGAUGAGGCUAGGGACACCUGGAGAAAGGCAAGCUA